ACAAUGUCAUCUCCACCACCUCUUGCUUCUAUAUAACUCAUCUCGUAUGUCUGUCUCUAUAAAAUCUCACAACUUAUAUGUCUUGCAAAUCUUAAGCCGCUUAAGAAACAAACAAAAAAACAACCAAACAUGAGCUAUAAUACAAAAGAAUUAGUAUUUCUCAUUGUUCUUAUUUUCACAAUCACCUCCGUUCAUGUUUCUGCCGCUACCCCUCGUCAUUUUGUGAAUCUCAGGUCGAAGAAGGAGACUAGUAGUCAAGUACAGGAGAGAGAGCUUGUGGAGUUUCAUCUUGACUAUGCAAGAACAGGGGCCAAUCACGAUCAUGAACCGGGGAAAGGAAGACCUUAAAACAACUUCAAUCAAGAUUAUACCAAACUUACUAUUUAUUUACCAAUAAGCUUUUACUUUUUAACCUGUAAAAUAUCACACUUCUUCUUUUGUUAAUGGUAAAAUAUCAAUAUAUACAUA